rnacentral:rRNA from 1 species
GUAGGUGCAAAUAACCUUUGAUCCAGGGAUUUCCGAAUGGGACAACCCAGCAGGUUGAAGACCUGUUAUCACUACAUUAGUAGUGAGGCGAACGAAGGGAACUGAAACAUCUUAGUACCUUUAGGAAGAGAAAAUAAAUAAUGAUUCCCCUAGUAGUGGCGAGCGAACGGGGAAUAGCCCAAACCUGCUUUGUGGCAACGCUUAGCAGGGGUUGUAGGACCACGCUGUCGUACUUAGAUUGUGAGAAGAAUGUUCUGGAAAGAACAAUCAUAGAGGGUGAUAAUCCCGUAUUCGAAGCAUGACGAGACGUAGUGGUAUCCUGAGUAACGCGGAACACGUGUAAUUCUGCGCGAAUCUGCCGGGACCAUCCGGUAAGGCUAAAUACUCCCGUGAGACCGAUAGUGAACGAGUACUGUGAAGGAAAGGUGAAAAGCACUCCGAUGAGGAGAGUGAAAUAGUUCCUGAAACCAUGCGCCUACAAGCGGUCGGAGCCGUGUAAGCGGUGACGG